rnacentral:rRNA from 1 species
UACGUAGGGUGCGAGCGUUGUCCGGAAUUAUUGGGCGUAAAGGGCUCGUAGGCGGUCUGUCACGUCGGGAGUGAAAACACGGGGCUUAACCCCGUGCCUGCUUCCGAUACGGGCAGACUAGAGGUAUGCAGGGGAGAACGGAAUUCCUGGUGUAGCGGUGAAAUGCGCAGAUAUCGGGAGGAACACCUGUGGCGAAGGCGGCUUUCUGGGCCCUACCUGACGCUGAGACGCGAAAGCGUGGGGAGCGAACCGG